rnacentral:rRNA from 1 species
GACGCACGCUGGCGGCGUUCUUAACACAUGCAAGUCUAACGAGUGGCGAACGGGUGAGUAAUGUCUGGGAAACUGCCUGAUGGAGGGUGAUAACUACUGGAAACGGUAGCUAAUACCGCAUACCAUCAGAUGUGCCCAGAUGGGAUUAGCUAGUAGGUGGGGUAACGGAUCACCUAGGCGACGAUCCCUAGCUGGUCUGAGAGGAUGACCAGCCACACUGGAACUGAGAAACGGGCCAGACUCCUACGGGAGGCAGCAGUGGGGAAUAUUGCACAAUGGGCGAAAGCCUGAUGCAGCCAGGCCGCGGGUGUGAAGAAGGCCUUCGGGUUGUAAAGCACUUUCAGCGGGGAGGCGUUACCCGCAGAAGAAGCACCGGCUAACUCCGUGCCAGCAGCCGCGGUAAUUA